rfam:Arc I group archaeon BMIXfssc0709_Meth_Bin006 APG12_contig000030, whole genome shotgun sequence.
GGACCAGUGGCCUAGUGGAUAUGGCGAUAGCCUCCUAAGCUAUAGGUCGGGGGUUCGAAUCCCCCCUGGUCCG